AGCAGCGUAGCUCAGUGGAAAGAGCCCGGGCUUGGGAUUCAGAGGUCAGGGGUUCGAAUCCCGGCUCUGCCA
rfam:Ornithorhynchus anatinus chromosome 7, whole genome shotgun sequence.